AUAGGGGAGCCGAAGGGAAACCGAGUCUUAACUGGGCGUUAAGUUGCAGGGUAUAGACCCGAAACCCGGUGAUCUAGCCAUGGGCAGGUUGAAGGUUGGGUAACACUAACUGGAGGACCGAACCGACUAAUGUUGAAAAAUUAGCGGAUGACUUGUGGCUGGGGGUGAAAGGCCAAUCAAACCGGGAGAUAGCUGGUUCUCCCCGAAAGCUAUUUAGGUAGCGCCUCGUGAACUCAUCUUCGGGGGUAGAGCACUGUUUCGGCUAGGGGGUCAUCCCGACUUACCAACCCGAUGCAAACUGCGAAUACCGAAGAAUGUUAUCACGGGAGACACACGGCGGGUGCUAACGUCCGUCGUGAAGAGGGAAACAACCCAGACCGCCAGCUAAGGUCCCAAAGUCACAGUUAAGUGGGAAACGAUGUGGGAAGGCUCAGACAGCCAGGAUGUUGGCUUAGAAGCAGCCAUCAUUUAAAGAAAGCGUAAUAGCUCACUGGUCGAGUCGGCCUGCGCGGAAGAUGUAACGGGGCUAAACUGUGCACCGAAGCUGCGGCAGCGACGCUUAUGCGUUGUUGGGUAGGGGAGCGUUCUGUAAGCCUGCGAAGGUGUCCUGUGAGGGAUGCUGGAGGUAUCAGAAGUGCGAAUGCUGACAUAAGUAACGAUAAUGCGGGUGAAAAGCCCGCUCGCCGGAAGACCAAGGGUUCCUGUCCAACGUUAAUCGGGGCAGGGUGAGUCGACCCCUAAGGCGAGGCCGAAAGGCGUAGUCGAUGGGAAACGGGUUAAUAUUCCCGUACUUGGUGUUACUGCGAAGGGGGGACGGAGAAGGCUAUGUUGGCCGGGCGACGGUUGUCCCGGUUUAAGCGUGUAGGCUGGUUU
rnacentral:rRNA from 1 species